rnacentral:sRNA from 1 species
UACUCUGUUGGUCGUCGCUAUAAGUGU